rnacentral:rRNA from 1 species
UACGGGGGGGGUAAGCGUUGUUCGGAAUUACUGGGCGUAAAGGGCUCGUAGGCGGCCGACUAAGUCAUACGUGAAAUCCCUCAGCUUAACUGGGGAACUGCGUGUGAUACUGGAUGGCUUGGAUUUGGGAGAGGGAUGCGGAAUUCCAGGUGUAGCGGUGAAAUGCGUAGAUAUCUGGAGGAACACCGGUGGCGAAGGCGGCAUCCUGGACCAAUAUUGACGCUGAGGAGCGAAAGCCAGGGGAGCAAACGGG